GGGAAAUCCGUUGUUACAAUUUGCUUGGCUGUGCCGGAAUAAAAGGCUAUCAUCUCUGUAGCCUGCAGGAGCCCAGAGUCAAUAUUGGAAUAUUGUCAUGAGAACCUGAUUUAGUUUCUCCUCUCCAUUCUGACAUUUGGCGAACCAAUCCUCGGAGAUCCAGCUCAGGGAACAUAGACUGUUUGCUAUUCCAGCAGGGGAUUAAGAGCAAAACAUUGAAGGAAAGACUCACCUCAUCUGGGCCUCAGACUCCUCGAGCAAUUGUUCCAUCGGAAGCCGCAGACCAAGAGGUUUACUUUUUUCAAACCAUAUUCAGAUCCUCUUGGAUAUCUCCUCAGGUCCCACGGUCAUCUCCUGCAGCUCCUUCCACCUCCGAGUCCUUCGCCUGCCCGAUCUCCCACUGACCUGCAACUUCCUAAUACUGACAUCCCUGGAAAGCAUGCACCUCCAAACCAGACUGGAACCUCUCCAUCUGAGCAACCCCCGGUCUGCAAACACAAGAACCAGAAUAACCCGAAUCUCAA